AGAGUUUGAUCCUGGCUCAGAAUGAACGCUGGCGGCGUGCUUAACACAUGCAAGUCGAACGAUGAAACCUAGCUUGCUAGGUGGAUUAGUGGCGCACGGGUGAGUAAUAUAUAGGUAACGUGCCUCUUAGUCUGGGAUAGCCAUUGGAAACGAUGAUUAAUACUGGAUACUCCUUCUAACUCUAAUGUUAGUCGGGAAAGUUUUUCGCUAAGAGAUCGGCCUAUUUCCCAUCAGGUAGUUGGUAGUGUAAGAGACUACCAAGCCUAUGACGGGUAGCGGGUUUGAGAGGAUGAUCCGCCACACUGGUACUGAGACACGGACCAGACUCCUACGGGAGGCAGCAGUGAGGAAUAUUGCACAAUGGAGGAAACUCUGAUGCAGCAACGCCGCGUGGAGGAUGACGCAUUUCGGUGUGUAAACUCCUUUUAUGAGUCAAGAAAAUGACGGUAGCUCAUGAAUAAGCACCGGCUAACUCCGUGCCAGCAGCCGCGGUAAUACGGGGGGUGCAAGCGUUAUUCGGAAUCACUGGGCGUAAAGGACGCGUAGGCGGGAUGCCAAGUCUGAUGUGAAAUCCUAUGGCUUAACCAUAGAACUGCAUUGGAAACUGGUAACCUAGAGUAUGGGAGGGGGAGAUGGAAUUAGUGGUGUAGGGGUAAAAUCCGUAGAUAUCACUAGGAAUACC
rnacentral:rRNA from 1 species